AAUCAUAAACGAUUUUAAUACAUUUCGUUGUAACAAACUUAAAAAUGAACAAACUUUUCAAUUAAAUUUUUUGUAAACAUUUUAAACCCACUUUCAUUCAGAAUUGUUUUUCGUUUGCAAUGAUUUAUCAACGGGUAUAGAUAUAAAUUAAAUUACCAGAAUACACGUAAUUUCUUUUCGAUAGGUACCCAGUUCCCACUGACUACGGUACUUUUACUAAAACUGUUGAAAGGUCGAUUAUUUUAUCUUGGCCAUAAACCUUUUUUUCCGGGCGAAGUCAAACAUUUUACUAACUCCUUCUCACUUAAAAAAUCUUAUCACAAUUGAAGUAGGUCGGCAACUAUUAAAAACUGUAACGCAGUAAUUCUGCAUGAAAUAAUUGUUAACCCUCCAGGCAGUAAAUGUUUAUGCUCCUUUUUCAUGGCAUUCAUGUUUUUUUUUUAUAACUAUAAAAUAAUAUGCUUAUUGUAAAUAAAAUGUAUAGAUUGU